rnacentral:rRNA from 1 species
GAUGAACGCUGGCGGCGUGCCCAAUACAUGCAAGUCGAGCGAACAGACGAGGAGCUUGCUCCUCUGACGUUAGCGGCGGACGGGUGAGUAACACGUGGAUAACCUACCUAUAAGACUGGGAUAACUUCGGGAAACCGGAGCUAAUACCGGAUAAUAUAUUGAACCGCAUGGUUCAAUAGUGAACGACGGUUUUGCUGUCACUUAUAGAUGGAUCCGCGCCGCAUUAGCUAGUUGGUAAGGUAACGGCUUACCAAGGCAACGAUGCGUAGCCGACCUGAGAGGGUGAUCGGCCACACUGGAACUGAGACACGGUCCAGACUCCUACGGGAGGCAGCAGUAGGGAAUCUUCCGCAAUGGGCGAAAGCCUGACGGAGCAACGCCGCGUGAGUGAUGAAGGUCUUCGGAUCGUAAAACUCUGUUAUUAGGGAAGAACAAAUGUGUAAGUAACUAUGCACGUCUUGACGGUACCUAAUCAGAAAGCCGCGGCUAACUACGUG